AGCUCAAAUAACGUAUAUUAAAGUUGUUGCAGUUAAAACGUUCGUAGUUGAGUUUCUGGUGGGAGGGAUUGUUCCAGCACUCAGUGUUGGAAAUUGUUUCCUCUCCGGUCAUCCAUGGGUGGAUCUUGUUUGAUAUUAGGUUAUCAGUCAGGUGUGCCAUUUGUUUACUGUAAAAAACUAAAGUAGUCAAAGUAGGCAUAUACCAUUGAAUAUAUUAGCAUGGAAUAAUAAGAUAGGAUCCUGGUGCUAUUUUUUGGUUUGCGUACCAAGGCAAUGCCUCAUAGGGAUAGUAGGGGGUAUUUAUAUUUGAUAUUCAGAGGUGAAAUACUUAGAUAUACGGAAGCCAAAGUACUGCAAUAGAUUUUACCAAGGACAUGUUUCA
rnacentral:rRNA from 1 species